rnacentral:sRNA from 1 species
UAAAGACAGUUGUACUUUGAGAUCCCGAU